rnacentral:ncRNA from 1 species
CCAGUGGCCGGAAGAGCACCGCACGUCGCGCGGUGUCCGGUGCGCCCCCGGCGGCCCAUGAAAAUCCGGAGGACCGAGUACCGUUCACGCCCGGUCGUACUCAUAACCCGAUCAGGUCUCCAAGGUGAACAGCCUCUGGCCAAUGGAACAAUGUAGGCAAGGGAAGUCGGCAAAACGGAUCCGUAACUUCGGGAAAAGGAUUGGCUCUGAGGACUGGGCUCGGGGGUCCCGGCCCCGAACCCG